rnacentral:rRNA from 1 species
GACGAACGCUGGCGGCGUGCUUAACACAUGCAAGUCGAACGGAAAGGCCCUGCUUUUGUGGGGUGUUCGAGUGGCGAACGGGUGAGUAACACGUGAGUAACCUUCCCUUGACUUUUGGAUAACUUCAGGAAACUGGGGCUAAUACCGGAUAGGAGCUCCUGCUGCAUGGUGGGGGUUGGAAAGUUUCGGCGGUUGGGGAUGGACUCGCGGCUUAUCAGCUUGUUGGUGGGUUAGUGGCUUACCAAGGCUUUGACGGGUAGCCGGCCUGAGAGGGUGACCGGCCACAUUGGGACUGAGAUACGGCCCAGACUCCUACGGGAGGAAGCAGUGGGGAAUAUUGCACAAUGGGCGGAAGCCUGAUGCAGAAACGCCGCGUGCGGGAUGACGGCCUUCGGGUUGUAAACCGCUUUCGCCUGUGACGAAGCGUGAGUGACGGUAAUGGGUAAAGAAGCACCGGCUAACUACGUG